rnacentral:rRNA from 1 species
GACGAACGCUGGCGGCGUGCUUAACACAUGCAAGUCGAACGAUGAAGCCUAGCUUGCUAGGUGGAUUAGUGGCGAACGGGUGAGUAAUACGUGAGUGACCUACCUUUGACUCUGGGAUAAGCCUGGGAAACUGGGUCUAAUACCGGAUGCGACCAAUCUCCGCAUGGGGUGUUGGUGGAAAGCGUUAUGGAGUGGUUUUAGAUGGGCUCACGGCCUAUCAGCUUGUUGGUGAGGUAAUGGCUUACCAAGGCGACGACGGGUAGCCGGCCUGAGAGGGUGACCGGCCACACUGGGACUGAGACACGGCCCAGACUCCUACGGGAGGCAGCAGUGGGGAAUAUUGCACAAUGGGCGCAAGCCUGAUGCAGCGACGCCGCGUGAGGGAUGACGGCCUUCGGGUUGUAAACCUCUGUUAGCAUCGAAGAAGCGAAAGUGACGGUAGGUGCAGAGAAAGCGCCGGCUAACUACGUG